rnacentral:tRNA from 1 species
AGGAGAAUAGUUCAAAGGCAGAAUAACGGUCUCCAAAACCGUAGAUCUCAGUUCGAUCCUGAGUUCUCCUG